GACGAACGCUGGCGGCGUGCUUAACACAUGCAAGUCGAACGGAAAGGCCCUGCUUUUGUUGGGUGCUCGAGUGGCGAACGGGUGAGUAACACGUGAGUAACCUGCCCUUGACUUUGGGAUAACUUCAGGAAACUGGGGCUAAUACCGGAUAGGAUCUCCUGCUGCAUGGUGGGGGUUGGAAAGUUUCGGCGGUUGGGGAUGGACUCGCGGCUUAUCAGCUUGUUGGUGGGGUAGUGGCUUACCAAGGCUUUGACGGGUAGCCGGCCUGAGAGGGUGACCGGCGACAUUGGGCCUGAGAUACGGACCAGACUCCUACGGGAGGCAGCAGUGGGGAAUAUGGCAGAACGGGCGGAAGCCUGAUGCAGAAACGUCGCGUGCGGGAUGCCCGCCUUCGGGUUGUAAACAGCUUUCGACUGUGCCGAAGAGUGAGUGACGGUAAUGGGUAAAGAAGCACCGGCUAACUACGUG
rnacentral:rRNA from 1 species